GGUGGCGACCGGCGCACGGGUGAGUAACGCGUAUGCAACCUACCUAUCAGAGGGGGAUAACCCGGCGAAAGUCGGACUAAUACCGCAUAAAACAGGGGCACCGCAUGGUGAUAUUUGUUAAAAAUUUAUUGCUGAUAGAUGGGCAUGCGUUCCAUUAGGUAGUUGGAGAGGUAACGGCUCACCAAGCCUACGAUGGAUAGGGGAACUGAGAGGUUGGUCCCCCACACUGGUACUGAGACACGGACCAGACUCCUACGGGAGGCAGCAGUGAGGAAUAUUGGUCAAUGGGCGAGAGCCUGAACCAGCCAAGUCGCGUGAAGGAAGAAGGAUCUAUGGUUCGUAAACUUCUUUUGCAGGGGAAUAAAGUGCAGGACGUGUCCUGUUUUGUAUGUACCCUGAGAAUAAGGAUCGGCUAACUCCGUGCCAGCAGCCGCGGUAAUACGGAGGAUCCGAGCGUUAUCCGGAUUUAUUGGGUUUAAAGGGUGCGUAGGUGGUUUAAUAAGUCAGCGGUGAAAGUUUGCAGCUUAACUGUAAAAAUGCCGUUGAAACUGUUAGACUUGAGUGUAAAUGAGGUAGGCGGAAUGCGUGGUGUAGCGGUGAAAUGCUUAGAUAUCACGAAGAACUCCGAUU
rnacentral:rRNA from 1 species